AGGACGCUUCACGCGCGCCCUGCUCCGCACCGAAAUCUUCGGCCCUUCUCCUUCGUUUGCCGCGCCUGCCUCCCUCCUUUCCUCUGACUUCCUUUUGACCCUGCUUGACUGCGAUUUACCCUCCGGAGAAAGUGAGGAUAGAGACCAGCCACUACUCCCUCCCCCUUCCCCAUAAUUUACGCAGCAUUCAUUUUCCUUCUCUGAGUUUGUGCACAUCGAACCAAUCCCCAGAGAAAUCCAAGCGCCGUAGCAGUGUGACCCGGCAAUGGGGAAGGCAAUAACAUAUAAGCGUACUAGAAGAGCAGAGAAUGACGUAACCAGGUAUGGGGCAUCAUCUAUGCAAGGGUGCCGUGAUGAAAUGGAAGCUACUUGGGCACCUCACGUACAUCUACUUGAUUAUGCGCCCACAUUAUUCUUUGGUGUUUAUGAUGGCCAUGGAGGAGCGGAAGUAGCAUCUUAUUGUUCGAGGAAGUUUCAUGAAGAGCUUAAAAAGGAUCCAAGCUAUGUCCUCAAUCUGCCUGGCGCAUUGAAGAAUGUGUAUUCCAGCAUUGAUGAGAAGUUGCAAGAAUCGGAUGAAUGGAGGAGGGACUUGGCUUAUUCUCCUCACAUCAGAAAUUUGAUAAGGUGGCUAUGGACUGAUGUUUGUGGUGCUAACUGGCUCCCCAAGGCACCUUAUCUGCCCCCUCUACAGGAAGGAAGCACAGCAUGCGUGGCUGUCAUCAGGGGCAACCGUAUCUAUGUUGCAAAUGUGGGCGAUUCCCGUUGUGUGCUCUCAAGGAAUGGUCAGGCAAUUGAUCUCUCGAUGGAUCACAAACCAAACUACCGACAUGAAAGAAAGAGAAUUGAAAAGGCAGGAGGACAAGUGCGCAUGGAUGAUAUCCCAAAGAAAGUUAUGGCUGACAUGAAGUUGGGCAUCCAUCGCAUUGAGGGAAUAUUACACAUAUCCAGAUCGAUUGGUGAUUUUCAGUUCAAGCAGGACCCGACUUUGUCGCGUCAAGAUCAAAUGGUGACAUGUUGUCCAGACAUAUGCGAUGUGCCGAUAACAAAUGAUACUCAAUUUUUUGUUAUAGCAAGUGCAGGUAUCUAGGAUGUCAUGACAAGUCGGCAGGUGGUUAAUUUUGUACACCAAUGCUUGCAAUCGGAGGAGAAAGAUCCGGGAACCAUCUGUGAAAAACUUCUUGAUUCAUGCCUGCGCGAGGGCUCAAAGGAGAAUUUGACCAUUAUACUGGUUCAAUUCAAGGCCACCGCCCAUGGUGGAGCUGAAGCCAAUGUUGCUCAUGGUGGAGCUGAAGCCAAUGGUGCCCAUGGUGGAGCUGAAGCCAAUGUCGCCCAUGGUGGAGCUGAUCGCGAAACGGCAACUGAUGAUAUCGAGAGCAAAGGGUCAGGUAGCCACAGCCCUAAGCCCUUAGAGAUCGAGGCCCAGGAAUCUGGCUCCAAAAAAGAAAGUGCGCCGAGGAUGCUUCAGCUGGGGUUGGCUAAAGCACGAGGAAUGCUAGGUGUGCCCACAGUUUGAUCAAGAAAAGAGUUGAUCCUGAGCUGGGAAGGAUUUGCAAUGCUGUUUUUGCUCUUUGUCGGAGACAGAAUUAUGUGUUGACGCACUCUAGGUGUGAGCAGUUGCUUCGUUGUGUCGUUGGUUUUGCUUGAGCGCCACUUGGAUUCACUCUCUUGUUCUGAUUUUAGAUAUUGAAGAUGCUUAAUGGGGUAUGCAGGCUUCCUGCCUUCAUGAUAA